rnacentral:rRNA from 1 species
CCUACGGGAGGCAGCAGUGGGGAAUAUUGGGCAAUGGAGGAAACUCUGACCCAGCGACGCCGCGUGCGGGAUGAAGGCCUUCGGGUUGUAAACCGCUUUCAGUAGGGAAGAAGCGAAAGUGACGGUACCUACAGAAGAAGCACCGGCUAACUAUGUGCCAGCAGCCGCGGUAAUACAUAGGGUGCAAGCGUUGUCCGGAAUUAUUGGGCGUAAAGAGCUCGUAGGUGGUUCGUCACGUCGGAUGUGAAAAUCUGGGGCUCAACCCCAGACCUGCAUUCGAUACGGGCGAUCUAGAGUGUGGUAGGGGAGACUGGAAUUCCUGGUGUAGCGGUGGAAUGCGCAGAUAUCAGGAGGAACACCAAUGGCGAAGGCAGGUCUCUGGGCCAUUACUGACACUGAGGAGCGAAAGCGUGGGGAGCGAACAGGAUUAGAUACCCUGGUAGUCCACGCCGUAAACGGUGGGCACUAGUUGUGGGAACCUUCCACGGUUUCUGCGACGCAGCUACGCAUAGUGCCCGCCGUCGGGAGGUACGAGUCGCGAAGAAUUAAACUAACGAAGGAAAGUUAGACGGCGUGAGACGUGCCGAACGGACGACGACGAGGGAGGUAGG